rnacentral:rRNA from 1 species
CCAGACUCCUACGGGAGGCAGCAGUGGGGAAUAUUGCACAAUGGGGGAAACCCUGAUGCAGCAACGCCGCGUGAGUGAAGAAGUAUUUCGGUAUGUAAAGCUCUAUCAGCAGGGAAGAAGAUGACGGUACCUGAAUAGGAAGCCCCGGCUAACUACGUGCCAGCAGCCGCGGUAAUACGUAGGGGGCAAGCGUUAUCCGGAUUUACUGGGUGUAAAGGGAGCGCAGACGGCAGUGCAAGUCUGGAGUGAAAGCCCGGGGCUCAACUCCGGGACUGCUUUUGAAACUGUUGAACUAGAUUGCAGGAGAGGUAAGUGGAAUUCCUAGUGUAGCGGUGAAAUGCGUAGAUAUUAGGAGGAACACCAGUGGCGAAGGCGGCUUACUGGACUGUAAAUGACGCUGAGGCUCGAAAGCGUGGGGAGCAAACAGGAUUAGAUACCCCUGUAC